GAGAGUGGCUCUGUGGGUGCUUAGCUAUUAGCUGGGGUAAACUCACCACACCUUCACUAGAUUAAUGUCACUGAAGAAGGUAAGGAAGUGCACUAUCACAUUUUUGAAACUAGCCUAUGAACGGGAAGAAACAUAGAAUCAUAAAAUAGAUUGGGUUGGAAGGGACCUUCAAAGGUCAUCGAGUCCAACCCUUCUACAAUGAGCAGGGACAUCUUCAACUAGAUCAGGUUGCUCAGAGCUCCACCCAACCUGAAAUUGAAUGUUUCCAGGGAUGGGGUAUCUACCACCUCUCUGGGCAACCAGUUACAGUGUUUGAUCACCCUCAUUGUAAAACUUUCUUCCUCAUGUCUAGCCUGAAUCUCCUCUCUUUUGGUUUGAAACCAUUACCCCUUGUCCUAUUGUAACAGGCCCUACUAAAAAGUCUGUCCACAUCUUUCUUAUAGGCCUCUUUUAAGUACUAAAAGGUUGGAAUAAGGUCUCCCCAGAACCUUCUCUUUUCCAGGCUGAACAACCCCAACUCUCUCAGCCCGUCCUCAUAGGAAAGGUGUUCCAUCCCUCUGAUCAUUUUUGUGGCCCUCCUCUGUACCCUAUCUAACAGGUCCAUGUCUUUCCUGUAAUGAGGGCUCCAGAGAUGAACGCAGUACUCCAGGUGGGGUCUCACCAGAGCAGAGGGGCAGAAUGACCUCCCUCGAUCUGCUGACCACACUCAUUUGAUGCAACCCAAUAUAUGAUUUUCCUCCUGGGCUGCAAGCAUACAUUGCCAGCUCAUGUCCAGUCUUUCAUCUACCAGUACCCCCAAGUCCUUCUCAGCAGGGUUGCUCUCAAUCCCUUCAUCCCUCAGCCUGCAGCCUGUAUUGAUACCAGAGGUUGCCUCCACCCAACUGCAGGACCUUGCAUUUGACCUUGUUGAACCUCAUGAGGUUCGCAUGGGCGCACUUCUCAAGCUUGCCCAGGUCCCUCUGGAUGGCAUCCCGUCCCUCAGGUGUGUCAACUGCACAACUCAGCUUGGUGUCAUCUGCAAACUUGUUGAGGGUGCACUCGAUCCCACUAUGUCAUUGAUGAAGAGGACCCAGGUUCACGAUCACUGCGCAGCUGCAACCAGGAGGAGCUGGAGGUGGAGACUAUGGAAAUGGUCUCCCAGAACUCAUUGUAAUAAGAACUGCCUUCACGGGGACAGGUUAUGAAUAUGUAUAGGCAUUCCUAAAACUUUCUUGAAUAUCUAACACUUUACUGCAUUUAACCAAGCUCACAGCUACUGGAAAUUUACACACAUAUUAGGUGAAAUGAUUCCCCCUGUGUCCGGCAUCGUAAAUAAAUAUGUACCUUCCUUAUAACCUCAAGGGUUGUAAGGUCAUUCCGCGCCUCAACAAUGUCUACAGUUCUAGAAGAAAAAGGGGGACAUUGGCUUUCCCCACAAAGAUUUCUCAAAUAUCAGGCUAAAUCAUCAUCACUAACAUUGUCAAUCCAGCUUCUUUCCUCAGUGGUAACAUUGGAAAACCAGUUCAUCAUAAUUGCCUGGAAACAAUCAAAGCAACAUACUCCAGCCGACCACAUCUAAAGGACAACCCUAUGGAGAACACUGAGAACUGCUUUAUGGACGAAAGCAGCAAUAUCCUGAAUGGUGAAAGGCAUGCUGGUUAUGCUAUAACUACUAGCCAUGAAGUGAUGGAAUCUGGACCUCUGUCUAAAAGUACUUCAGCACAAAAGGCAGAAAUAAUCACCCUUACUUGUGCUCUGGACCUAGCUGAAGGUAAAACUGUGAACUUUUAUACGAACUCUCAGUAUGCUUUCAGAGUCGCAUGGAAAAAUUUGGAAAGAAAAAGGACUCUUGAACUCUCAAGGCAAACAUAUCAAACAUGCAGAAGAAAUAUUGGCAGCUCAGCUUCCUAAGAAGGUGGCAAUCAUGCAUAUCAAGGCACACCAGAAAGUGAGCUCGGAAUUGGAGAAAGGAAAUGAGCUGGUGGACAGAGAGGCAAAACUGGUGCCUAAGCAAAAGAAAAGACUUUGGAACCACAAUGGGAAGGUCCAUUUCAAGUCCUCCUGACAUCCUUCACUGCUAUCAAGAUUAAAGAACAGAACGCCUGGAUCCAUCAUUCUAGAGUGAAGAAAGCCUGGAAAACACCAUGGAGGGCCGAGGAUUGAAGUGGAUUCAACGAAGAUUCAACGGAUGCAGAUGGACAGGAGGGAGAUAAGUUGUGAGGACUGUUUCAGAUGUAAACCAUGGAUCCCAGUUCAGUGUUAUAGAUGCUGACAGACCUGGUGGUCUAGAAGCCUAUUAGCAAGCAGGUGGUGUACCUUCUGCGGAGAAUGGCAAUUUGAACAAUCAGCAGGAGAUCCAAAAGGGUGAUAUUAUGAUUAGAUAGUCAAUGCAUAGAUAAGGUAAAAUUAUGAGAUAUCCCUACCAUAGUAAUCUAAGUUUAGCAAUUGAUGAAGUUUUAGAAGGGAUAUUAAGGUUAAGCUAUUGAUCUUUUAAAUAGGUUAAGAUAACUUUUAAGAUAUUAAUUCCAUUAUUAGUAUAUGCUGAUGGUAUUAAGUAUGUUACUCUAUAAACUGCGCAGUUAUAAAUCUUUUGGGAAUUGAAGAGAAAAUAUUGUAUUAACUUGUCUGGUUAGUUUGAAUCUAUUAAAAUAGUGUGUUAAUAAGGUUGUCAUAAUAGAAUUAAGGUUUUAAGAAUAGGCAGGUAGUUGUUUGAUCUUAUUAAGUAAGGUUUAACUGCAUUAUAUGUAAUUGUAAUUAUGUUGUUAAUCACGUGUUCUGUGUUGCAGUAUAUUUCAAAAAUGAUGCACCAUGCGGUUAAAGGGGCCUGACUAAUUCAAGAAAGGGGGAAGUGUGGAGGGGUUUUGAUAGAUUUGUUGCUGAAUUAGUCAGGCUCAAAGGAAUCUCAAGGCCGCUUUGAGAAGCUGAGAACAGAAUCUGCUGUGAGAAAGAGGGGCGUUCCUCAAUCACUGGGGUCCUGGCGUGGCGUGAAUCAUCGGACGUAUCAUCAGUGAGACUCCAGCGCAUGGACAGCCCAUGAUACUCAUUUAGCGAAUCCAUGCUUGGAGCGUGGACGCGUGAUUAGAAUAUAGUUGCAUAUAUAAGGAGGCUGGUUUCUGUAAUAAAUGGCUUUAGCGUGAUUCACAUUGAA